rnacentral:rRNA from 1 species
AGUGAACGCUGGCGGUAGGCCUAACACAUGCAAGUCGAACGGCAGCACAGUAAGAGCUUGCUCUUACGGGUGGCGAGUGGCGGACGGGUGAGGAAUACAUCGGAAUCUACUUUUUCGUGGGGGAUAACGUAGGGAAACUUACGCUAAUACCGCAUACGACCUACGGGUGAAAGCAGGGGAGCUUCGGACCUUGCGCGAGUGAAUGAGCCGAUGUCGGAUUAGCUAGUUGGCGGGGUAAAGGCCCACCAAGGCGACGAUCCGGAGCUGGUCUGAGAGGAUGAUAAGCCACACUGGAACUGAGACACGGUCCCGACUCCUACGGGAGGCAGCAGUGGGGAAUAUUGGACAAUGGGCGCGAGCCUGAUCCAGCCAUCCCGCGUGGGUGAAGAAGGCCUUCGGGUUGUAAAGCCCUUUUGUUGGGAAAGAAAAGCAGCAGGUUAAUACCCCGCUGUUCUGACGGUACCCAAAGAAUAAGCACCGGCUAACUUCGUG